rnacentral:rRNA from 1 species
AUGAACGCUGGCGGCGUGCCUAAUACAUGCAAGUCGAGCGAACAGACGAGGAGCUUGCUCCUCUGACGCUAGCGGCGGACGGGUGAGUAACACGUGGAUAACCUACCUAUAAGACUGGGAUAACUUCGGGAAACCGGAGCUAAUACCGGAUAAUAUAUUGAACCGCAUGGUUCAAUAGUGAAAGACGGUUUUGCUGUCACUUAUAGAUGGAUCCGCGCCGCAUUAGCUAGUUGGUAAGGUAACGGCUUACCAAGGCAACGAUGCGUAGCCGACCUGAGAGGGUGAUCGGCCACACUGGAACUGAGACACGGUCCAGACUCCUACGGGAGGCAGCAGUAGGGAAUCUUCCGCAAUGGGCGAAAGCUUGACGGAGCAACGCCGCGUGAGUGAUGAAGGUCUUCGGAUCGUAAAACUCUGUUAUUAGGGAAGAACAAAUGUGUAAGUAACUAUGCACGUCUUGACGGUACCUAAUCAGAAAGCCACGGCUAACUACGUG